rnacentral:rRNA from 1 species
UACAGAGGGUGCAAGCGUUAAUCGGAAUUACUGGGCGUAAAGCGUGCGCAGACGGUUGCGUAAGUCAGAUGUGAAAGCCCCGGGCUCAACCUGGGAAUUGCAUUUGAGACUGCGUAGCUAGGGUGCGGAAGAGGGAAGCGGAAUUUCCGGUGUAGCGGUGAAAUGCGUAGAUAUCGGAAGGAACACCAGUGGCGAAAGCGGCUUCCUGGUCCAGCACCGACGUUCAGGCACGAAAGCAUGGGGAGCAAAAGGG